rnacentral:rRNA from 1 species
GUCUCACACUGGACCGCUUCGUUUGACAUGCCUUACACAUGCAAGUCGAACGGCAGCGCGGGAGCAAUCCUGGCGGCGAGUGGCGAACGGGUGAGUAAUACAUCGGAACGUGCCCAAUCGUGGGGGAUAACGCAGCGAAAGCUGUGCUAAUACCGCAUACGAUCUACGGAUGAAAGCAGGGGAUCGCAAGACCUUGCGCGAAUGGAGCGGCCGAUGGCAGAUUAGGUAGUUGGUGAGGUAAAGGCUCACCAAGCCUUCGAUCUGUAGCUGGUCUGAGAGGACGACCAGCCACACUGGGACUGAGACACGGCCCAGACUCCUACGGGAGUGCAGCAGUGGGGAAUUUUGGACAAUGGGCGAAAGCCUGAUCCAGCCAUGCCGCGUGCAGGAUGAAGGCCUUCGGGUUGUAAACUGCUUUUGUACGGAACGAAACGGUCUUUUCUAAUAAAGAAGGCUAAUGACGGUACCGUAAGAAUAAGCACCGGCUAACUACGUGCCAGCAGCCGCGGUAAUACGUAGGGCGCAAGCGUUAAUCGGAAUUACUGGGCGUAAAGCGUNCGCAGGCGGUGAUGUAAGACAGUUGUGAAAUCCCCGGGCUCACACCUGGGGAACUUGCUCUGUGACUGGCGUAGCUGGGAGUACGCCGGNAGGGGGGAUUGGGAAUUCCCCGUG